rnacentral:tRNA from 1 species
CGGGGGCUAGCUCAGCUUGGUUAGAGCGCACGGUUCGGGACCGUGAGGUCGGUGGUUCAAGUCCACUGCCCCCGACCA